AGAACGAACGCUGGCGGCAGGCCUAACACAUGCAAGUCGAGCGCUGUAGCAAUACAGAGCGGCGCACGGGAGAGUAAUACGUGGGAACCUACCCUUUGGUUCGGAAUAACGUCGGGAAACUGACGCUAAUACCGAAUAAGCCCUUCGGGGGAAAGAUUUAUUGCCGAAGGAUGGGCCCAUGUUGGAUUAGCUAGUUGGUGAGGUAACGGCUCACCAAGGCAACGAUCCAUAGCUGGUCUGAGAGGAUGAUCAGCCUCACUGGGACUGAGACACGGCCCAGACUCCUACGGGAGGCAGCAGUGGGAAUAUUGGACAAUGGGGGCAACCCUGAUCCAGCCAUGCCGCGUGAGUGAUGAAGGCCUUCGGGUUGUAAAGCUCUUUUGGCGGGGACGAUGAUGACGGUACCCGCAGAAUAAGCCCGGCUAACUUCGUGCCAGCAGCCGC
rnacentral:rRNA from 1 species